rnacentral:rRNA from 1 species
AAUACCGGAUAUGACCACGAAUCGCAUGGUUUGUGGUGGAAAGAUUUAUCGGUGCGAGAUGGGCCCGCGGCCUAUCAGCUUGUUGGUGGGGUAAUGGCCUACCAAGGCGACGACGGGUAGCCGGCCUGAGAGGGCGACCGGCCACACUGGGACUGAGACACGGCCCAGACUCCUACGGGAGGCAGCAGUGGGGAAUAUUGCACAAUGGGCGGAAGCCUGAUGCAGCGACGCCGCGUGAGGGAUGACGGCCUUCGGGUUGUAAACCUCUUUCGACAGGGACGAAGCGCAAGUGACGGUACCUGUAGAAGAAGCACCGGCCAACUACGUGCCAGCAGCCGCGGUAAUACGUAGGGUGCGAGCGUUGUCCGGAAUUACUGGGCGUAAAGAGCUUGUAGGCGGUUCGUCGCGUCGAUCGUGAAAACUUGCAGCUCAACUGCGAGCUUGCGGUCGAUACGGGCGGACUAGAGUACUGCAGGGGAGACUGGAAUUCCUGGUGUAGCGGUGAAAUGCGCAGAUAUCAGGAGGAACACCGGUGGCGAAGGCGGGUCUCUGGGCAGUAACUGACGCUGAGAAGCGAAAGCGUGGGUAGCGAACAGGAUUAGAUACCCUGGUAGUCCACGCCGUAAACGGUGGGCGCUAGGUGUGGGUUUCCUUCCACGGGAUCCGUGCCGUAGCUAACGCAUUAAGCGCCCCGCCUGGGGAGUACGGCCGCAAGGCUAAAACUCAAAGGAAUUGACGGGGGCCCGCACAAGCGGCGGAGCAUGUGGAUUAAUUCGAUGCAACGCGAAGAACCUUACCUGGGUUUGACAUACACCAGAAAGCUGCAGAGAUGUAGCCCCCCUUGUGGUUGGUGUACAGGUGGU